UGAUGGCGAUUGGAUCAAGAGUUGGUCAAGGAUCGAAUUAAGGAGGCUUGGAACCAAUUCAAGAGUUGAAGACCAGUUGAUCGACUGACGUGCAUGUGCUUGUAAUAUGACCUAAUUAGAAUACAUGAUCAUCACCUAUUUAAAGUUUAGCUUUAAUUAUUGCUACGAUUAUAACUGCCUGCGAUGUAUCGUUUGCAUGUGAUGCAAAUGUGAGUGGGGUAGAUAGGUUUACAUGUGAUGCAAACUAAUAGACCAAUUCAAAUGAGACCUAAACUAAAACCUCCUCAAUCAAGUCGAGAGUGAACCAACAUGAGCGAGUCAUAUUAGAUUAAUAGAUCUAAUUGGUGGCUAGGAAAGCAUGAAAGGUGGUUACUUAAUUAGGACCUUACUCUCUGAGUAAGGGGAGCCUUCCACCUGCUUACCUGGCCAAUUGUUCAAUUACCUCUUAUGAAGAGCUCAAGUUGCAAACACUAAGACCUGAUUAACCGAUAUUAAGUCCAUAGGUCUUCCACCGUAGUAGAGCUGCUAAGGUCUUUCUGAUGUUGAUUUGUCUCGGCUGGACACAGUGGGCAAGUUG
rnacentral:lncRNA from 1 species